AACGAACGCUGGCGGCAUGCCUAACACAUGCAAGUCGAACGAGACCUUCGGGUCUAGUGGCGCACGGGUGCGUAACGCGUGGGAACCUGCCUUUAGGUUCGGAAUAACUCAGAGAAAUUUGAGCUAAUACCGGAUGAUGUCUUCGGACCAAAGAUUUAUCGCCUUUAGAUGGGCCCGCGUAAGAUUAGCUAGUUGGUGGGGUAAAGGCCUACCAAGGCGACGAUCUUUAGCUGGUCUGAGAGGAUGAUCAGCCACACUGGGACUGAGACACGGCCCAGACUCCUACGGAGGCAGCAGUGGGGAAUAUUGGACAAUGGGCGAAAGCCUGAUCCAGCAAUGCCGCGUGAGUGAUGAA
rnacentral:rRNA from 1 species